GCCACGAUGGCGGAAUGGUAUACGCGGCGGACUCAAAAUCCGCUUCCAGCGAUGGAUUGAGGGUUCGAGUCCCUCUCGUGGUACCA
rnacentral:tRNA from 1 species